AUUGAAGGAAUCAGCGUUUGCUUUCUCUGUCCGAGGGGAAAGAAAGGGUAAGCCAUUGAACCUCCUUCGUGCUAGGAUAGGGGCUUGUAAUUGUUCCCCUUGAAC
rnacentral:rRNA from 1 species